rnacentral:rRNA from 1 species
CUACGGGCCGCAGCAGUGGGGAAUAUUGGACAAUGGGGGAAACCCUGAUCCAGCAAUGCCGCGUGUGUGAAGAAGGCCUGCGGGUUGUAAAGCACUUUCGGUUGGGAGGACUGCUUCUAGCACUAAUAUUGUUGGAAGUUGACGUUACCUUCAGAAGAAGCACCGGCUAACUCCGUGCCAGCAGCCGCGGUAAUACGGAGGGUGCAAGCGUUAAUCGGAAUUGCUGGGCGUAAAGCGCGCGUAGGCGGCUAGAUCAGUCGGGUGUGAAAGCCCCGGGCUUAACCUGGGAACUGCAUCCGAUACUGUCGAGCUUGAGUACAGGAGAGGAGAGUGGAAUUCCACAUGUAGCGGUGAAAUGCGUAGAUAUGUGGAGGAACACCAAUGGCGAAGGCAGCUCUCUGGCCUGAUACUGACGCUGAGGUGCGAAGGCGUGGGGAGCAAACAGGAUUAGAUACCCCUGUAGUC